UUGAAAAUUUUCUGCAACAACUUUUUCUCAUUACGUUCCUGGUCGACUGUGCACCAAGCACAAACAUCGUAAUGAUCAACAAUGGACUUAUGAUUAUACACUAUGUAAGCCAAAGUAGUUUUUCCAAGCCCAGGCAUGCCGACUAUGGAAAUGACAUCUAUCUCAGCUGAUCCGCUGGUGAGCUUCCUAAUUAUCCACUCUGUCUCCUCCUCAAAACCUACAAUUAUUUUGCCAACUGUACUCGAUGAGUUUCUUUCAACCGGCUUGUUAGGAGCGUUUGCAACAAUUAUACCGCUGCUCUUGGGGAUCUUUUCUUGUACCUCUUUUUUGACAAGCUUGAUCUUUUCUACAGUAUCAGGAAGUAUGAAGAUAAGCUGCAAUAGACCAUGAUCUCGCGCAAGAAUUGAGUUAAAGGCAUUUUGCGCCUCAUAUGACACAUCCAGAACAUGAGCCCAAAGAUCUUUAUGCAACUCUUGCUCAACAUACCCGAACAACGAUCUUAUGAUUUCCAGGUCUUCUUUCACCCGCCCGAUUUCUUCUUUUAUCAAAUAAACUGGAUAAGCAUUGGAAUUGACCAAG
rnacentral:misc_RNA from 1 species